UACGUAGGGUGCGAGCGUUAAUCGGAAUUACUGGGCGUAAAGCGUGCGCAGGCGGCGCGUUAAGACAGGUGUGAAAGCCCCGAGCUUAACUUGGGAAUUGCGCUUGUGACUGGCGUGCUGGAGUGUGGCAGAGGGAGGUGGAAUUCCACGUGUAGCAGUGAAAUGCGUAGAGAUGUGGAGGAACACUGAUGGCGAAGGCAGCCUCCUGGGCCAGCACUGACGCUCAUGCACGAAAGCGUGGGAGCAAACAGG
rnacentral:rRNA from 1 species